AUUGAACGCUGGCGGCAGGCCUCACACAUGCAAGUCGAGCGGAGCGGCGGACGGGUGAGUAAUGCCUAGGAAUCUGCCUGGUAGUGGGGGAUAACGUCCGGAAACGGGCGCUAAUACCGCAUACUAUCAGAUGAGCCUCGGUCGGAUUAGCUAGUUGGUGGGGUAAAGGCCUACCAAGGCGACGAUCCGUAACUGGUCUGGGAGGAUGAUCAGUCACACGGGAACUGGGACACUGUCCAGAAUCCUACGCGAGGCAGCAGUGGGGAAUAUUGGACAAUGGGGGAAAGCCUGAGCCAGCCAUGCCGCGUGGGUGAAGAAGGCCUUCGGGUUGUAAAGUACUUUCAGCGGGGAGGCGUUACCCGCAGAAGAAGCACCGGCUAACUCCGUGCCAGCAGCCGCGGUAAUUC
rnacentral:rRNA from 1 species